rnacentral:rRNA from 1 species
GGAGGUAGUGACAAUAAAUCACAAUGCGGGACUAUCAGUCUUGCAAUUGGAUUGAGAACAAUGUACAACUCUUAUCGAUAAGCCAUUGGAGGGCAAGUCUGGUGCCAGCAGCCGCGGUAAUUCCAGCUCCAAUAGCGUAUAUUAACGUUGUUGCAGUUAAAAAGCUCGUAGUUGAAGUGUGGGUGAUCGCUGUUGUGAGACUUCGGUCUCUCGACAGUAAGUCACCCCCUUCCAGUAUCCAGUAGUGGGUAUUCAGUUCAGUUACUUACUAUUGUGUGUUGGUCAUUUACUGUGAGAAAAUUAGAGUGUUCAAAGCAGGCGUUUGCUUGAAUAGAUUAGCAUGGAAUAAUAAUUGAAGGCUUUCGUGUUCGAUUUGAUUGGUUUGUUCAUGGAAGCAAGGUUAAAAGGAACAGUUGGGGGUAUUCAUAUUCACUAGUUAGAGGUGAAAUUCUCGGAUUUAUGGAAGAUGAACA